ACACCCCACAGAAACACCCCCAGGGAGAGAUGCAUCCAACACACAACAAUGCACAUCUCAACACACCCAGAAACUACACAAACACUACACAUUUAUCUGACCUUAUCUGGGAACAAGAUAUUUCCACAGGAUCAACCAGUGAACAAGAAAUCAACUCAGAUAAACCUAUUUCAGCGUAUGAUCCAAACCUCCCCAGUGAGUUCUGCCCCUUUGAGUUCUGCCUCAGCUUGUGGUGCACCAGACGACAGCUUUCACAACCAGCCCUGCAACCCAUAUCACCACCAUCCCAGCAGAAAUGCAGCCAAGGCUUUCUUCCAUUCUCC